rnacentral:rRNA from 1 species
GAUGAACGCUAGCUACAGGCUUAACACAUGCAAGUCGAGCGAGCGGCGGACGGGUGAGUAAUGUCUGGGAAACUGCCUGAUGGAGGGGGAUAACUACUGGAAACGGUAGCUAAUACCGCAUACCAUCAGAUGUGCGCAGAUGGGAGUAGCUGGUAGGUGGGGGAACGGCUCACCUAGGCGACGAUGCCUAGCUGGUCUGAGAGGGUGACCAGCCACACUGGAACUGAGACACGGUCCAGACUCCUACGGGAGGCAGCAGUGGGGAAUAUUGCACAAUGGUCGCAAGCCUGAUGCAGCCAUGCCGCGUGUGUGAAGAAGGCCUUCGGGUUGUAAAGCACUUUCAGCGGGGAGGCGUUACCCGCAGAAGAAGCACCGGCUAACUCCGUGCCAGCAGCCGCGGUAAUAC